rnacentral:rRNA from 1 species
GAUCAUGGCUCAGAAUGAACGUUGGCGGCGUGGAUUAGGCAUGCGAGUCGUGCGAGAACCGUAGCAAUACGGGGACAGCGGCGAAAGGGAGAGGAACACGUGGAUACCUACCCUCAGGUUCUGGAUAGCUAUGGGAAACUAUAGGUAAUACUGAAUAAUAUCUCCGGAUCAAAGGUGUGAUUCCGCCGGAGGAGGGGUCCGCGUCCUAUUAGCUAGUUGGUGAGGUAAUGGCUCACCAAGGCGAAGAUGGGUACGGGAUGUGAGAACAUGAUCCCGCUCAUUGGGACUGAGACACUGCCCAGACACCUACGGGUGGCUGCAGUCGAGAAUCUUCGGCAAUGGGGGAAACCCUGACCGAGCGACGCCGCGUGUGAGAUGAAGGCCUUCGGGUUGUAAAUCACUGUCGUAGAGGAGGAAGUGUAGGUGGGUUCUCCCACUUAUUUGACCUAUUCUAGGAGGAAGGACGGGCUAAGUUCGUG